rnacentral:ncRNA from 18 species
GGCCCCCACAUGUAUGCUCGUGCUCGCUGUCGCCGCAGGGAAAUCCGGUGCGAAUCCGGAACUGUCCCGCAACGGUGUAUUCGGUGUGCUUUUGUGCACCCCCGAGUCCGAGGACCUGCCGACAGCGCAUCCGGCUCG